rnacentral:rRNA from 1 species
GACGAACGCUGGCGGCGUGCUUAACACAUGCAAGUCGAACGCAGUGGCGAACGGGAGAGACACGCGGAAUCCACCUGCCCUACCGAGGGGGAUAACAGAUGGAAACGACUUCUAAUACCACAUACUGAAGGGGGGGAUUGCGUCGGUUUAGCUAGUUGGAGGGGUAACGGCCCACCAAGGCGAUGAUCAGUAGCCGGUCGGAGAGGAUGAUCAGUCACACUGGAACGGAGACACGGUCCAGACUCCUACGGAAGGCAGCAGUGGGGAAUAUUGGACAAUGGGCGAAAGCCUGAUCCAGCCAGGCCGCGUGUGUGAAGAAGGUCUUCGGAUUGUAAAGCACUUUAAGUUGGGAGGCGUUACCAACAGAAUAAGCACCGGCUAACUUCGUGCCAGCAGCCGCGGUAAUUC